AGAAAUCAUGAGUCAAGUUACUGAACAAUCCGUACGUUUCCAGACCGCUUUGGCCUCUAUUAAGCUCAUUCAGGCUUCUGCCGUUUUGGAUUUAACCGAAGAUGAUUUCGAUUUUCUGACGAGUAACAAAGUUUGGAUUGCUACUGACCGCUCUCGUGCUCGUCGCUGCGUUGGGGCUUGCGUUUAUGGUACGCUGGACUUUGUAGGAUACCCUCGCUUUCCUGCUCCUGUUGAGUUUAUUGCUGCCGUCAUUGCUUAGUAUGUUCAUCCCGUCAACAUUCAAACGGCCUGUCUCAUCAUGGAAGGCGCUGAAUUUACGGAAAACAUUAUUAAUGGCGUCGAGCGUCCGGUUAAAGCCGCUGAAUUGUUCGCGUUUACCUUGC
rnacentral:rRNA from 1 species